UUCGGUGGCAGGAAGACAGGUGGUGCAUGGUUGUCGUCAGCUCGUGUCGUGAGAUGUUGGGUUAAGUCCCGCAACGAGCGCAACCCUUAUUGUUAGUUGCUACCAUUUAGUUGAGCACUCUAGCGAGACUGCCCGGGUUAACCGGGAGGAAGGUGGGGAUGACGUCAAAUCAUCAUGCCCCUUAUGUCUAGGGCUACACACGUGCUACAAUGGUCGGUACAAUGAGAUGCAACCUCGCGAGAGUGAGCAAAACUAUAAAACCGAUCUCAGUUCGGAUUGUAGGCUGAAACUCGCCUACAUGAAGCUGGAGUUGCUAGUAAUCGCGAAUCAGAAUGUCGCGGUGAAUACGUUCCCGGGCCUUGUACACACCGCCCGUCACACCAUGAGAGUUGGCAAUACCCAAAGUUCGUGAGCUAACGCGUAAGCGAGGCAGCGACCUAAGGUAGGGUCAGCGAUUGGGGUGAAGUCGUAACAAGGUAGCCGUAGGAGAACCUGCGGCUGGAUCACCUC
rnacentral:rRNA from 1 species